UCUAAGGAGAUCUCGGAGUGUGAGAUAUCACUUCGUAACGUCCUAAGGUCAGGCUUCUGGAGUGGAGGGAGAGUAUUCACGUUGUUUAAUUUAGAGGGUAUACGCCGGAGGGCGGCGAAACGGGCCAAUAGCUCAGCUGGCUAGAGCACACGACUGAUAAUCGUGAGGUCGGUGGUUCGAGUCCACUUUGGCCCACCAUAUUAUCAUAUCGGGGGUAUAGCUCAGUUGGUAGAGCACCUGCUUUGCAAGCAGGGGGUCACCGGUUCGAGUCCGAUUACCUCCACCAUGAGAGCAGAUUGAAGCGCUCAAGGGAUUGAGCGUUUCAAUCUGGCCUUAAAGAGGGUCAGAGGGUUGCACCUUGAAAACUGAACAACGAAGAAAACAUUCCAGAAAUGUGAGAGCAAGCAACAGAAGAACAAAGCACGUUGUGGAAACUUUAAAAGGGUAAAAGCAACAAACGCUGAAGAUUCUUCCGUAAGAUUGUGUCUGCAUAAUUCUUGAGAACCAGAGACAUGGUGCAAGCUACGCUUGCGCCGCGAGGUCAAGCUGGAAAGAGCGCAAGGGGAAUGCCUUGGCAUCAGGAGCCGAAGAAGGUCGUGACAAGCUGCGAUAAGCUACGGGGAGCGGCACAUACGCAUCGAUCCGUAGAUCAC
rnacentral:misc_RNA from 1 species